AACGAACGCUGGCGGCAGGCCUAACACAUGCAAGUCGAACGGGAUCUUCGGAUCUAGUGGCGGACGGGUGAGUAACGCGUGGGAACGUGCCCUUUGGUUCGGAAUAGCCCCGGGAAACUGGGAGUAAUACCGGAUAAGCCCUACGGGGGAAAGAUUUAUCGCCAAAGGAUCGGCCCGCGUUGGAUUAGGUAGUUGGUGAGGUAAUGGCGCACCAAGCCGACGAUCCAUAGCUGGUUUGAGAGGAUGAUCAGCCACACUGGGACUGGGACACGGCCCAGACUCGUAAGGGAGGCAGCAGUGGGGAAUCUUAGACAAUGGGGGAAACCCUGAUCUAGCCAUGCCGCGUGAUCGAUGAAGGCCUUAGGGUUGUAAAGAUCUUUCAGUGGGGAAGAUAAUGACUGUACCCACAGAAGAAGCCCCGGCUAACUCCGUGCCAGCCGCCGCCGUAA
rnacentral:rRNA from 1 species